GACGAACGCUGGCGGCGUGCUUAACACAUGCAAGUCGAACGGGGUGUUUAUUUCGGUAAACACCAAGUGGCGAACGGGUGAGUAACGCGUAAGCAAUCUACCUUCAAGAUGGGGACAACACUUCGAAAGGGGUGCUAAUACCGAAUGAAUGUAAGAGUAUCGCAUGAGACACUUACUAAAGGAGGCCUCUGAAAAUGCUUCCGCUUGAAGAUGAGCUUGCGUCUGAUUAGCUAGUUGGUGAGGGUAAAGGCCCGACCAAGGCGACGAUCAGUAGCCGGUCUGAGAGGUUGAACGGCCACAUUGGGACUGAGACACGGCCCAGACUCCUACGGGAGGCAGCAUGGGAAUAUUGCACAAUGGGGGAAACCCUGAUGCAGCGACGCCGCGUGGAGGAAGAAGGUCUUCGGGAUUGGUAAACUCCUGUUGUUGAGGAAGAUAAUGACGGUACUCAACAAGGAAGUGACGGCUAACUACGUGCCAGCAGCC
rnacentral:rRNA from 1 species